CACGGAGGGUGCAAGCGUUAAUCGGAAUCACUGGGCGUAAAGCGCACGUAGGCGGCACGUUAAGUCAGCUGUGAAAGCCCUGGGCUCAACCUGGGAAUGGCAGUUGAUACUGACGCGCUCGAGUCUGAGAGAGGGGGGUGGAAUUCCAGGUGUAGCGGUGAAAUGCGUAGAUAUCUGGAGGAACACCGGUGGCGAAGGCGGCCCCCUGGCUCAUGACUGACGCUGAGGUGCAAAAGCGUGGGGAGCAAACAGGAUUAGAUACCCUGGUAGUCCACGCGGUAAACGAUGUCGACUAGCCGUUCGGUCCAUUUAAGGGCGGAGUGGCGCAGCCAACGCGAUAAGUCGACCGCCUGGGGAGUACGGCCGCAAGGUUAAA
rnacentral:rRNA from 1 species